CGGGCGGCCGUGACCCUGCUGGAGUCCGGGGGGGACCUCCAGCCCCCCGGGGGGUCCCUGCGCCUCCUCUGCCGUGGACAAGGAUUCACCUUCGGGAGUUUCGACAUGUUCUGGGUGCGCCAGAAACCCGGGAAGGCGCUGGAAUUUGUGGCGAGCAUCAGCAGUGGUGGCACCACCAAAUACGCGCCGUCGGUGCAGGGCCGGUUCACCAUCGCCAGGGACAACGGGCAGAGCUCGGUGACGCUGAGCAUGAACAACCUCCAGGACGAGGAUUCCGGGGUUUAUUUCUGUGCCAAAUGUUACACCAGUGGUUGUUACAGCAGUUAUGGUGCUGCUGCUGCUGCUAUUGGUUAUGUUGACGAUGUCGCUGAUGGCCCUGACCCCCCCUUGAUGGAUCCCCAAAUGUCCCAGAAUUCCGAAAUCCUGCCCCAAUCCCAGCCCUGA